AGCAGCCGCGGUAAUUCCAGCUCCAAUAGCGUAUAUUAAAGUUGUUGCAGUUAAAAGCUCGUAGUUGAAUUUCGGGAUCAAUUAAUCGGUCGUGCCUCUGGUACGCACUGGUUUUAUUGGUUUCUCCCUUCUGACGAACCAGGAUGUCAUUAUUUUGGUGUCUUGGAGAAUCAGGACUGUUACUUUGAAAAAUUAGAGUGUUUAAAGCAGGCUUCUAGGCAUGAAUACAUUAGCAUGGAAUAAUGAAAUAGGACGUUUGAUCUUAUUUUGUUGGUUUCUAGGAUCGACGUAAUGAUUAAUAGGGAUAGUUGGGGGCAUUAGUAUUCAAUUGUCAGAGGUGAAAUUCUUGGAUUUAUUGAAGACUAACUAUUGCGAAAGCAUUUGCCAAGGAUGUUUUCAUUAAUCAAGAACGAAAGUUAGGGAUCGAAGACGAUCAGAUACCGUCGUAGU
rnacentral:rRNA from 1 species